AUACUUAUCUGGCAGCGGAGACACUGUGAUCACACAGGUGAUUUUCCAAAGGCAAGGCUUAUUAUCCAUUGCACCCAAGAUGUUCUAAUCUGUAUGAUUUCCCCAAAAUGCAAGAAUCUCAACUCAUAAUUUGUGGUCCUGUGGGACAGCAUCUCCCUCG